rnacentral:rRNA from 1 species
CCUACGGGAGGCAGCAGUGAGGAAUAUUGGUCAAUGGGCGCGAGCCUGAACCAGCCAAGUCGCGUGAGGGAAGACGGUCCUAUGGAUUGUAAACCUCUUUUGUCGGGGAGCAAAAGACGCCACGCGUGGCGUUCCGAGAGUACCCGAAGAAAAAGCAUCGGCUAACUCCGUGCCAGCAGCCGCGGUCAUACGGAGGAUGCGAGCGUUAUCCGGAUUUAGUGGGUUUAAAGGGUGCGCAGGCGGAAGAGCAAGUCAGCGGUAAAAUUGAGAGGCUCAACCUCUGCGAGCCGUUGAAACUGGUUUUCUUGAGUGAGCGAGAAGUAUGCGGAAUGCGUGGUGUAGCGGUGAAAUGCAUAGAUAUCACGCAGAACUCCGAUUGCGAAGGCAGCAUACCGGCGCUCAACUGACGCUCAUGCACGAAAGUGUGGGUAUCGAACAGGAGUAGAUACCCUAGUAGUC